GCGAACGCUGGCGGCGUGCUUAACACAUGCAAGUCGAAUGCGCAGCAUUCUGUAGCAAUACAGAGUGUGGGCGCAUGGCGAACGGGUGCGUAACACGUGGGCAACCUUCCCUUCGGUGGGGGAUACCCCCGCGAAAGCGGGACUAAUACCGCAUAACACUUCCUUGGUUAGCUCCGAGGAAUUCAAAGCAGCAAUGCGCCGGAAGAGGGGCCCGCGGCCGAUUAGCUUGUUGGCGAGGGUAACGGCUCACCAAGGCUAAGAUCGGUAGCCGGUCUGAGAGGAUGAUCGGCCACACUGGAACUGAGACACGGUCCAGACUCCUACGGGAGGCAGCAGUGGGGAAUCUUGCGCAAUGGGCGAAAGCCUGACGCAGCGACGCCGCGUGGGGGAUGAAGCUUUUCGGAGCGUAAACCCCUUUCGACCGGGACGAAUGCCCGCAAGGGCUUGACGGUACCGGUAGAAGAAGCCCCGGCUAACUACGUGCCAGCAGCCGCGGUAAAACGUAGGGGGCCAGCGUUGCUCGGAAUUACUGGGCGUAAAGGGUCUGUAGGCGGUGCGGCAAGUCGGAAGUGAGAUCGCAGGGCUUAACUCUGCGGCUGCUCCCGAAACUGCCGUGCUCGAGUGCGAGAUAGGCGAGUGGAAUUGCAGGUGUAGCGGUGAAAUGCGUAGAUAUCUGCAGGAACAUCCGAGGCGAAAGCGGCUCGCUGGAUCGCAACUGACGCUGAGAGACGAAAGCUAGGGGAGCAAACAGGAUUAGAUACCCUGGUAGUCCUAGCCCUAAACGAUCAGGACUUGGCGUGGCCCCUGUACGGGGGUCGUGCCGUAGCUAACGCGUUAAGUCCUGCGCCUGGGGAGUACGGUCGCAAGGCUGAAACUCAAAGGGAUUGACGGGGGCCCGCACAAGCGGUGGAACAUGUGGUUCAAUUCGACGCAACGCGAAGAACCUUACCUGGGCUUGAAGUGCACCGGACCAGCCGUGGAAACAUGGCCUUCCCGCAAGGGACUGGUGUAGAGGUGCUGCAUGGCUGUCGUCAGCUCGUGCCGUGAGGUGUUGGGUUAAGUCCCGCAACGAGCGCAACCCUUACUUGUAGUUGCCACCCGCAAGGGGGAACUCUACAAGGACUGCUCCGGAUAACGGAGAGGAAGGUGGGGAUGAGGUCAAGUCAGCAUGGCCUUUAUGUCCAGGGCUACACACGUGUUACAAUGCGCGCUACAGAGCGUUGCAAACCCGCGAGGGGGAGCUAAUCGCAAAAAAGCGCGCUCAGUUCGGAUUGCAGUCUGCAACUCGACUGCAUGAAGCCGGAAUCGCCAGUAAUGGCGCAUCAGAACGGCGCCGUGAAUACGUUCCCGGGCCUUGUACACACCGCCCGUCACAUCACGAAAGUGGGCUGUACUAGAAGUCGUCAAGCUAACCGCAAGGAGGCAGACGCCCAAGGUAUGGCUCAUGAUUGGGGUG
rnacentral:rRNA from 1 species